ensembl:rRNA 5S_rRNA 5S ribosomal RNA
GUCUACGGCAGUACCACCCUGAACACGCCCAAUCCCGUCUGAUCUCAGAAGCUAAGCAGGAUGGGGCCUGGUUAGUACUUGGAUGGGAGAAUGCCUAAAAGACUUUCCAGGAAGUCAGAGUUG